UAGGGAAUCUUCGGCAAUUGACGAAAGUCUGACCGAGCAACGCCGCGUGAGUGAUGAAGGUUUUCGGAUCGUAAAACUCUGUUGUUAGAGAAGAACAAGGACGUUAGUAACUGAACGUCCCCUGACGGUAUCUAACCAGAAAGCCACGGCUAACUACGUGCCAGCAGCCGCGGUAAUACGUAGGUGGCAAGCGUUGUCCGGAUUUAUUGGGCGUAAAGCGAGCGCAGGCGGUUUCUUAAGUCUGAUGUGAAAGCCCCCGGCUCAACCGGGGAGGGUCAUUGGAAACUGGGAGACUUGAGUGCAGAAGAGGAGAGUGGAAUUCCAUGUGUAGCGGUGAAAUGCGUAGAUAUAUGGAGGAACACCAGUGGCGAAGGCGGCUCUCUGGUCUGUAACUGACGCUGAGGCUCGAAAGCGUGGGGUGCAAACAGG
rnacentral:rRNA from 1 species